rnacentral:tRNA from 2 species
GACUCCGUGGCGCAAUGGUAGCGCUUCUGACUCCAGAUCAGAAGGUUGCGUGUUCAAAUCACGUCGGGGUCA